rnacentral:pre_miRNA from 1 species
AGCUCCUUUCAGCCCAAUACGGAGGACUGAGAUGUGGGUAGAGCUGCCAUCUCAUGCAUAAGGCUAUGCUUAAUAUUUCUCAAACAGAAACUUCCAGUCAUCAAAUUUGAGCUGCCAUCUUCAAGGACUUAAUGUUAAGCUCAACCAAAUGCAUGGAGUGGGAGCAACUCCUUCCCCAUACUUUGCCCGCCCAUUGGACUGAAGGGAGCUCC